UACAGAGGUCUCAAGCGUUGUUCGGAAUCACUGGGCGUAAAGGGUGCGUAGGCCGCACGGAAAGUCAGAGGUGAAAUCCCGGAGCUCAACUUCGGAAUUGCCUCCGAUACUCCCGUGCUUGAGGACUGGAGAGGAGUCUGGAAUUCAACAGUGGAGCAGUGAAAUGCGUAGAUAUUGUGAGGAACACUAGUGGCGAAGGCGAGACUCUGGACAGUUCCUGACGCUGAGGCACGAAGGCCAGGGGAGCGAACGGG
rnacentral:rRNA from 1 species